AUUGAACGCUGGCGGCAGGCCUAACACAUGCAAGUCGAAAGAGUGGCGUACGGGUAAGUAAUGUCUGGGAAACUGCCCGAUGGAUGGGGAUAACUACUGGAACCGGUAGCUAAUACCGCAUACCAUCGGAUGUUCCCAGAUGGGAUUAGCUAGUCGGUGGGGUAUAGGCUCACCUAGGCGACGAUCCCUAGCUGGUCUUAGAGGAUGCACAGCCACACUGGAACUGAGACACGGUCCAGACUCCUACGGGAGGCAGCAGUGGGGAAUAUUGCACAAUGGGCGCAAGCCUGAUGCAGCCAUGCCGCGUGUAUGAAGAAGGCCUUCGGGUUGUAAAGUACUUUCAGCGAGGAGGCGUUACUCGCAGAAGAAGCACCGGCUAACUCCGUGCCAGCAGCCGCGGUAAUUC
rnacentral:rRNA from 1 species